AGAGUUUGAUCCUGGCUCAGAACGAACGCUGGCGGCGUGGAUAAGACAUGCAAGUCGAGCGAGAUUUUUUCUUGUAGCAAUACAGGGAAAAGUCUAGCGGCGAACGGGUGCUUAACACGUGGGCAACCUGCCGUGAAGUGGGGGAUAGCUCGCCGAAAGGCGAAUUAAUACCGCAUGUGAUUAGAGAGGACAUCCUUUCGAAAUUAAAGUCGGGGCAACCUGACGCUUCUUGUGGGGCCCGCGGCCUAUCAGCUAGUUGGUGAGGUAACGGCUCACCAAGGCUUUGACGGGUAGCUGGUCUGAGAGGACGACCAGCCACACUGGGACUGAGACACGGCCCAGACACCUACGGGUGGCAGCAGUCGAGAAUUUUUGACAAUGGGGGAAACCCUGAUCGAGCGACGCCGCGUGGAGGAUGAAGGUCUUCGGAUUGUAAACUCCUGUCAUUGGGGAACAAGGUGCAUACGUUAACUGCGUGUGUAUUGAUAGUACCCGAAGAGGAAGGGACGGCUAACUCUGUGCCAGCAGCCGCGGUA
rnacentral:rRNA from 1 species